rnacentral:rRNA from 1 species
UACGGGGGGGGCAAGCGUUGUUCGGAAUUACUGGGCGUAAAGGGCUCGUAGGCGGCCAACUAAGUCAGACGUGAAAUCCCUCGGCUUAACCGGGGAACUGCGUCUGAUACUGGAUGGCUAGAGGUUGGGAGAGGGAUGCGGAAUUCCAGGUGUAGCGGUGAAAUGCGUAGAUAUCUGGAGGAACACCGGUGGCGAAGGCGGCAUCCUGGACCAGUACUGACGCUGAGGAGCGAAAGCGUGGGGAGCAAACAGG